rnacentral:rRNA from 1 species
UACGUAGGGACCAAGCGUUGUUCGGAUUUACUGGGCGUAAAGGGCGCGUAGGCGGCAAUUCAAGUCAUCUGUGAAAUCUCCGGGCUUAACUCGGAAUGGUCAGGUGAUACUGCUUUGCUAGAGUGCAGAAGGGGCAAUCGGAAUUCUUGGUGUAGCGGUGAAAUGCGUAGAUAUCAAGAGGAACACCUGAGGUGAAGACGGGUUGCUGGGCUGACACUGACGCUGAGGCGCGAAAGCAUGGGGAGCGAACAGG